GUUGCCCUCCUGUGGACAUGCUCCAGCUUGUCCAUAUCCUUUUUGUGUUGCCCAGAAUACAACACAGUAUUCCAGGUGAGGCCUGACCAAAGCAGAAUAGAGUGCUUCUAUCACUUUCUUCGAUCCAGACACUAUACAUCUAUUGGUGCAGCCUAGGAUCCUUCCUGUUUAUCACACUGGAUUUCAUUGUGCCUCCUCUCUUCCCAUUCCCCAGCUUUUCCUUCAUGCCAGGGGGAUAAUGUGGAAUCUUAUGCUUCUUGAACUGAAUAUUGAUUGGAUGGUGAUUUUGUGUGAUAAUGGGAAGCUGAGCCAUCGCCUCCAGACAAGCAGCUCCAUCCCACACUGAGACGGAUUCAAGAAGAUGGCAGCUCUUCCAGUCUUAUUGCUGAUCAUUGCCUUGGGAGCAAAGAGUGCUCUUUCCUUGGAUUGCUACGUCUGCAAUGGCACCAAGCACAUGGGUUGCACCAACGUUAUAACUUGUUUCCCAACGGCUCAGUAUUGCACAAGAUACACAGCUACAAGCACAACUGGUUUUCAUCUUGAGCAAGGCUGUGCGGAAAAAUGUCCCAUUGCCAGAGCAACUUGGCCAUCACUCUAUACUUACACUUGCUGUCAGGAAAGCAGGUGCAACAGUGCGGCAAGCAUAAGAAGACCCAACUGUGUCCUAGCCGUGGUUGUUUUCAUCAAAACCUUAAUUGGCAUGAAGCUCUAACUUUGCAAGGAGAGAGGUAUGGAAGACUCUACCCAAGAAUGUCUACCCAAUCAGCUUCCUCUCACUCUGACAUCUUUAGCUGUGGUCUCCAGGACAAUCUCAUCUCCUACCACUUUUCAUUUCUGAGUGGUCUAGUGCAUCUUUGCUCCUUGGAAUGGAACAUAUUAGGGAUGGGCAUUUAGGAUGAACAGCCAUGGACUUUGACUUACAAGAGGAACACAUGGGGAAACUUUUGUGGCUUUGGUCAACCCACUCUGUGACAUUUCUAGUGGAGCAUCACACAAUUGGUGCCUAGGAGACUCUUCCUAAAGUGUUGCAUGAACUAGGGGCUAUACUGACCAUGGCCAGUUGAGGGACAAUUUCCCAGUGCAGAAUCCAUUGGCUUGACCCACACUUUCUCCUUGAGAUAGCCACUUAUGUAAUUGGAAAAAUAAGAGACAAUCAUGUUUACAGUCUCUCUAAUAUCUCCCCCCAUAUAUGCCUACUCCCCAAUGUACAAAACACCUUGCAAUUUUGAUCUAACCUUCUUGGAAGUCUGGUUUAAGGAGGAUUGAUUUCUCAGCAUCAUCAUUUGACCUGCAUGAACAUGUGCAUAUCUUAAGAGCAAAAGAGUUAGUUCUCCUAAAGGGAUAGGAGACCAAUUCCUUAGCAAAUAAAUAUGCAUUAUUAUAUAAUAAAAGAAUAAAUAAUAUUAAACAAGUGCAACACAUAUUCAUUUUUACUAUAAUAAAUAUAACAAACCAUUGAUUCAGUGGAUAAUUAAUUAAUUAAUUAAUUAAUACAACCUGGAGAAGGUGCGGGAAGGGCAGCUGUAAAACUGACAGUGGAUUCACUGCUUCUACCAGCCAUAAUCCACUAAUCACCCCCGAAAUCAUCAUCACUCUUGAAAUUCCUCUGGUCAGGGUCAUCCCAGACCUGAGAUUUCAGAGAUCGAAGCAAGUAGACUAACUUAAAGCUUCCUUAUCUCUCUAAGUGACAAGAGAGAAUCUCAUUUUACCUUGAUCUAGAGACAUCUUCUUUAGUUAAGAUUUCUGCCUUAAGUUCCAAACAGGAAAAUUUGUUCUACAUGUUUUGUGUUUGAAUGACAAGCCCACAGGCAGCUGUGAUUGGAACUACAGUUGGCCCACCCCAUAUGUGGGCUUUCCAUAUGCAGACUUGAGGUCAAGUGGAGGGGAAGCCCUAUUUAGAUGAAUGGUGCAUGUGUCCAUGGUGCGUGCGUUGUGCCGCAUACAGGAGCCUGUUCCAUUCAUCUAAAUGGGGCUUAAGCCCGCACUGAAUUUGCUUUAAAUGUGUGGGGUGUCCAGAACGAAUCCCCUGUGUAAAACAAGGGUCCACUGUACAUGCAUAAUGCUAAAUGACACCAGCAGAGCCUACUCCUUGGUCUCAGAUUUUGGCCUGGAAACUUUGCGGCCUGUUGGGAUGAAUGUGCCAAAUGGGUUAACAUGCAGAUCAUUGGCAGCAGUGGCAUCACUAGGAGGGUGCAGGGGGUUCAAUCCUCACUGGGUCACAUCUCAAAAGAGGGGUGACACCUGGUUGGGCACUCCUCCUGCUGCGGGGUGAGAAAUGGCAAAUGUGUGCCCCUGGAUUUGCCAUAGCGGAUAUCUCCUCCUGAGGAGGGAGCUGCUGUCUUAGAGAAGGAGAAGAGCCAACAAGUCCCCCCAGCGUUCAUCAUGGCAAUGGUCCCCUUCUGAGGAGGGAUCUGCUGUGGCAGCAAAGGAGAAGGGCCAGUGAGUCCCUCCUGGGUUCGCCUUGGCAGCACCUUCCUCAUAAGGCAGCCACCUCACUGUGGCAGUGGGACCAUCUUUGAGAGGAGAUAGAGACAGGCCAGCAUGUCCUUUUGGCUGCCGCUGCCACCCCACCAGGUCGUCCCCCUGCACCAGGUGACACCAUGGGAAUGCCACUGAUAUGCGGUAUAUGCAUUAAAAGAAAAUGCCUGUGGACAGGUGGAGUUGCAGUUCAGAUUCAGAGAUCUUUGAUAGAAUUCCCCUCCCCAAAAGAUUUCACUGCAAGAGAGCUGUAAACCUCAUGCCAACCACACAGGCAGAAAAUGCAGGCGUGUUCAGCAAAACUCUAAAGCCACGAAAGCAAAAUAAUAGAAGAAGCGGUGUUCAUAGUUCAGCCAGUUUCAGGUAAGACAUACCGAACCACCCUUCUAGUAUCAUCAUAUUA